CCCCCGCGGCUCCACCCCUGCCCUAAUCGCCGCGACCGCCAAAGUGUCUGUUUUUCUUCGGCGACUGCGGCGUAUCCUCGGUGAACAACGGCUGCCUUCCUCUCCAGCGGGAAACAGCGACAUUGGCGGUGGCGUCUUCCCCUCCCGGGAUAUAGUGUGCUUCACAGUUUCUGAAGCUACUAACUACAAUAGAUAAAUAGUGGAAGGUAGUGUCAGUGCGCAUGUGUCAUAUCAAGACAUUAUUUCAGUGGUGGAGAAUUGCUUGGAUGUGAGCAUGAUAAUAAGUAAAUGAUCAAAGGUACUCUUAAUCAACACUCAAACACCAUUUAGAGACUUAAAUCUGAAAGAAAUGGUUUAUGGGAACUGAAUGCACGUGGAUUUAUGUGAGGAAUUUUAUCUGAUACAGAUGAUCAGCUGGAAGUUUUCAACUUCCUUUUGGUUGGAAGCAGAUACAGAAAAUAUAUUUAGUUUGGACUUUGGAUGUGCUUGAUCUGAGGUAGAAGAGGAGUUGGACUUAGAGAGGGCAGCAAUUAGAUUAGUUUUUUUGUAUUUUUCUGCAAACAGCACACGAUACUGCUUCAAAAGAUGAUGUUUUUGUUGCAAAAAAGGCUCUUUUGCCUUUUCCCAUGUAACAAUUCCUCCAUUUAUCUUUCCUCCUAUCAACUUUGCGGCCUGUUUAACUUUUCCACUGCCACAUACGAAAGUUCAGAGCACAGUUCCAACUUUAUAGUGGUCAACCCCCUUCAAUCAUGUGAACUUUCCUCGGAAAAGGCUGCAAAAACUGCCAAGUAUCACACCUGUCGUAAAAAUUCUUCGAGUCUUUCCAUUGAGUUCUUUAAGCAGAACGGUUGGAGCGAUGCACAAGUCAUGAAACUUACCCAGAAGGCACCCAAGUUGCUGCGUGCUAAGGUAGAGACUACACUGAAGCCCAGGAUGAGAUCUUUGCAGGACAUGGGAUUUUCUGUUGCUGAAAUAGUUCAGUUGGUUUCAAAAUGGCCGACUAUACUCUUUAAUAAUAUCCAACCGAAUUUGAACUUCUUGAGGUCACUACUUGGUUCUAAUGAGAGGUUACUGAAAGCCUGCAGGAGGAAUGGAUUUCUUCUUAAUUCUAACUUACCUCGGAAGAUAGAGCCUAAUAUAUCUCUCUUAAGGGAAUGUGGCAUCAGCAAUGAACGCAUCGCGCUUAUGGUGGUGACGAUGCCGAGUUUUGUUGUUCGAAAAAGCAAAUUUAUUAAGGAAGUUAUUGAACAUGUUGAGGAGUUGGGUGUGCCACGUGAUUGUGGAAUGUUCCCUCAUGCACUUCUUGUUGUCAUGAACGUGAGCAGAUCUAAGUGUGAUGCUACCUUUGCAACCUUGAAGAGCUUUGGUUGGUCCCAGCCAGACAUCAUUGCCAUACUCAGGAAGAGCCCAUUUGUUUGGAAACUCUCAAAGAAGAACGUAUCUGACAAGAUGACAUUCCUGAUGAAGGAAGCUGGUUGUGAGCUGCAGUAUAUCAUUCGUCAUCCUGUACUUCUUUCACUUAGCUUGGAGAAGAGGUUGAGACCUCGACGUGAAGUUAUAAAUUUUCUUGAGCAGAAUAAAUUGCUGGAUAAAGGACAUAGCCUUAUAUAUGUCUUGACACUAACUGAGCAGAAGUUCAUAAACAAAUUUCUUUUCCCGUACAAGGAGAAAUUUACUGCUCUCUAUUAUUCCUAUGUUGCUGCUGUGCAGGGAAAGCACCAUGUUGUCGUUGAAAAUUAGGAUUGCAAAUGCUCCGUCGAGACUGGCAAAGUGUAAACCUAUUGCAUACUGAUUGAUGUUGAUUUUGAUAUUUUAUUUCUAAUUAUCUUUUACGUACAACACAAGAUACCAUUUAUUUUA